GCUUAUGGCCAUACCAGCCUGGCUAUGCCCGAUCUUGUCUGAUCUCUGGAAGCUAAGCAGGUUUGGGCCUGGUUAGUACAUGGAUGGGAGACUGCCUGGGAAUACCAGGUGCUUUAAAUU
rnacentral:rRNA from 1 species